rnacentral:tRNA from 1 species
GUGUUAGGUAGCUCAGUUGGGAAAGCGCUCACCUCUCACGCCAGAGAUGCGGGUUUCAAUCCCGGCGCGGUAUG